UUUAACCAGCGAGAUAAAUUAGCAAGAGCCUGUGGAGGUUCGUGGAGGUGAGGCAGAGAGAGGGGAGACGAGAGAGACUGCGAGAGGAUCGAAGAGGGAGAGAGUGAGGGACACUGAGAGAGGGACGGGAAGGUAGCAGAUGGGAAAAAGGUUUAUAGAGGCACAGCGAGGGCGAGGCUUGGUUGCUUAAUUCUGAUGGUCACUGGCAUGGAGCUAAUCAAAGAUGGCUAUGGGUUGAUAGCAAGAGUAUUUACUGGAAUUAGGUCUUUCGUUGAUCUUUCGUCUUCUUUACGCAAGCUUAAAGGUUUGGGGAACCUAUUUAAAUCAAAUAAUAUUUUUAUUUGUAUGCUUACAUGUAGUUUUUUCAGUAGUGUUGUGUUUCGAUUGAAACAUAUGAAUAUGUUGUUUACAUCAA